rnacentral:misc_RNA from 1 species
GCAAAAGGCCAUAGCUUCCAACCUGCAGUAAGCAUCGGAAUAAAUGUAGCUUUCAAUUCACUAUAAAUGUUGGCCGGUGAUUCAAGACGCAGGAGCCCCAAGGUCACAAAAUAAAUGCUGUUCCAUAUUGCAGACCACACGGUCUGGUCAAACACCACCUUAGCAGGAACUACCCACCAGUCAUGGAAAGGAAAAAGAACCUCACAGAAGCGGUAAUAGUAAUGUGAAAGGGACCCAUGAAGUGUAAACCCAACCAGGCCAGAUCUGAACAUCCGAGCACGGUCAAAAUCAAAAAGUGGUUUCCCCUCAUAGCACUGGGCAAUCCAAUCUCCGACAGAAUAAACCACCCCACUUAUCAUCAUUUUGGCAAGAACGGGAU